AGAGUUUGAUCCUGGCUCAGGAUGAACGCUGGCGGCGUGCCUAACACAUGCAAGUCGAACGAAGCUUGACGGAUGAUUUCUUCGGAAUGAAACCUGAUAUGACUUAGUGGCGGACGGGUGAGUAACACGUGAGCAACCUGCCUUUCAGAGGGGGAUAACGGCUGGAAACGGUCGCUAAUACCGCAUGAUGUGUUCGGAUGGCAUCAUCUGAACAUCAAAGAUUUAUCGCUGAAAGAUGGGCUCGCGUCUGAUUAGAUAGUUGGUGGGGUAACGGCCUACCAAGUCGACGAUCAGUAGCCGGACUGAGAGGUUGAACGGCCACAUUGGGACUGAGAUACGGCCCAGACUCCUACGGGAGGCAGCAGUGGGGAAUAUUGCACAAUGGGGGAAACCCUGAUGCAGCAACGCCGCGUGAAGGAUGACGGUUUUCGGAUUGUAAACUUCUUUUCUUAGUGACGAAGACAGUGACGGUAGCUAAGGAAUAAGCAUCGGCUAACUACGUGCCAGCAGCCGCGGUAAUACGUAGGAUGCAAGCGUUAUCCGGAUUUACUGGGUGUAAAGGGAGCGCAGGCGGGACUGCAAGUUGGAUGUGAAAUACCGUGGCUUAACCACGGAACUGCAUCCAAAACUGUAGUUCUUGAGUGAAGUAGAGGCAAGCGGAAUUCCGAGUGUAGCGGUGAAAUGCGUAGAUAUUCGGAGGAACACCAGUGGCGAAGGCGGCUUGCUGGGCUUUAACUGACGCUGAGGCUCGAAAGUGUGGGGAGCAAACAGGAUUAGAUACCCUGGUAGUCCACACCGUAAACGAUGAUUACUAGGU
rnacentral:rRNA from 1 species